rnacentral:pre_miRNA from 1 species
UACUUUUCUAAUAUCACGAGGACUUACAUGGCCUCAAGUCACCUGUGGUGUUGUGCAAGAAGGAGAAGCAAAGUCUGUCUAUGUAUUAUGAGAUAGCUACUUCUAUGGCUAGGAUAUAUGUUGUACAAGACCGGCUUUUCUUCUACUUCUUGCACAACCUGAGGUUAUUGAGGCUAUACAAGUCUUCUUCUAUAAUGUUAUUUAUUA